rnacentral:rRNA from 1 species
AACGAACGCUGGCGGCGUGGAUAAGACAUGCAAGUCGGACGAGACUAUUUCUAGUAGCAAUACCGGGAAUAGUUUAGUGGCGAACGGGUGCUUAACACGUGGGCAACCUGCCAGGAAGUGGGGGAUAGCUCGCCGAAAGGCGAAUUAAUACCGCAUGUGAUUAGAGAGGACAUCCUUUCGAAAUUAAAGUCGGGGCAACCUGACGCUUCUUGUGGGGCCCGCGGCCUAUCAGCUAGUUGGUGAGGUAACGGCUCACCAAGGCUUUGACGGGUAGCUGGUCUGAGAGGACGACCAGCCACACUGGGACUGAGACACGGCCCAGACACCUACGGGUGGCAGCAGUCGAGAAUUUUUGACAAUGGGGGAAACCCUGAUCGAGCGACGCCGCGUGGAGGAUGAAGGUCUUCGGAUUGUAAACUCCUGUCAUUGGGGAACAAUGCAUAAAUAUUAACUGUAUUUGUGUUGAUAGUACCCGAAGAGGAAGAGACGGCUAACUCUGUGCCAGCCGCCGCGGUAAUAC